rnacentral:rRNA from 1 species
GGAAGGGGUGUAUUUAUUAGAUUAAAAACCAAUGCCCUUCGGGGCUCCUUGGUGAUUCAUGAUAACUCCUCGAAUCGCAUGGCCUUGUGCCGGCGAUGGUUCAUUCAAAUUUCUUCCCUAUCAACUUUCGAUGUUUGGGUAUUGGCCAAACAUGGUUGCAACGGGUAACGGAGGGUUAGGGCUCGACCCCGGAGAAGGAGCCUGAGAAACGGCUACUACAUCCAAGGAAGGCAGCAGGCGCGCAAAUUACCCAAUCCCGACACGGGGAGGUAGUGACAAUAAAUACUGAUACAGGGCUCUUUUGGGUCUUGUAAUUGGAAUGAGUACAAUUUAAAUCCCUUAACGAGGAACAAUUGGAGGGCAAGUCUGGUGCCAGCAGCCGCGGUAAUUCCAGCUCCAAUAGCGUAUAUUAAAGUUGUUGUGGUUAAAAAGCUCGUAGUUGAACCUUGGGCCUGGCUGGCCGGUCCGCCUCACCGCGUGUACUGAUCCGGCCGGGCCUUUCCCUCUGUGGAACCCCAUGCCCUUCACUGGGUGUGGCGGGGAACCAGGACUUUUAC